rnacentral:rRNA from 1 species
CACGGGAGCUUGCUCCUGGUGGCGAGUGGCGAACGGGUGAGUAACAUAUCGGAACGUAUCCAAUAAUGGGGGAUAACUAAGCGAAAGCUUGGCUAAUACCGCAUACGCCCUGAGGGGGAAAGCUAGGGAUCUUCGGACCUGGCGUUGAUGGAGCGGCCGAUAUCUGAUUAGCUAGUUGGUGGGGUAAAGGCCCACCAAGGCGACGAUCAGUAGCUGGUCUGAGAGGACGACCAGCCACACUGGAACUGAGACACGGUCCAGACUCCUACGGGAGGCAGCAGUGGGGAAUUUUGGACAAUGGGCGCAAGCCUGAUCCAGCCAUUCCGCGUGAGUGAAGAAGGCCUUCGGGUUGUAAAGCUCUUUCGCAAGGGAAGAAAGAUUACUCUCUAACAUAGAGUGAUUAUGACGGUACCUUGAUAAGAAGCACCGGCUAACUACGUGCCAGCAGCCGCGGUAAUACGUAGGGUGCGAGCGUUAAUCGGAAUUACUGGGCGUAAAGCGUGCGCAGGCUGUUUUGUAAGUCAGAUGUGAAAUCCCCGAGCUCAACUUGGGAACUGCGUUUGAAACUACAAGACUAGAAUAUGUCAGAGGGGGGUAGAAUUCCACGUGUAGCAGUGAAAUGCGUAGAGAUGUGGAGGAAUAUCAAUGGCGAAGGCAGCCCCCUGGGAUAAUAUUGACGCUCAUGCACGAAAGCGUGGGGAGCAAACAGGAUUAGAUACCCUGGUAGUCCACGCCCUAAACGAUGUCAACUAGUUGUUGGUAGAGUAAAAUCUAUGAGUAACGCAGCUAACGCGUG